rnacentral:rRNA from 1 species
GACACGGUCCAAACUCCUACGGGAGGCAGCAGUGAGGAAUAUUGGUCAAUGGGCGAUGGCCUGAACCAGCCAAGUAGCGUGAAGGAUGACUGCCCUAUGGGUUGUAAACUUCUUUUAUAAAGGAAUAAAGUCGGGUAUGCAUACCCGUUUGCAUGUACUUUAUGAAUAAGGAUCGGCUAACUCCGUGCCAGCAGCCGCGGUAAUACGGAGGAUCCGAGCGUUAUCCGGAUUUAUUGGGUUUAAAGGGAGCGUAGAUGGAUGUUUAAGUCAGUUGUGAAAGUUUGCGGCUCAACCGUAAAAUUGCAGUUGAUACUGGAUAUCUUGAGUGCAGUUGAGGCAGGCGGAAUUCGUGGUGUAGCGGUGAAAUGCUUAGAUAUCACGAAGAACUCCGAUUGCGAAGGCAGCCUGCUAAGCUGCAACUGACAUUGAGGCUCGAAAGUGUGGGUAUCAAACAGGAUUAGAUACCCUGGUAGUCCACACGGUAAACGAUGAAUACUCGCUGUUUGCGAUAUACGGCAAGCGGCCAAGCGAAAGCGUUAAGUAUUCCACCUGGGGAGUACGCCGGCAACGGUGAAACUCAAAGGAAUUGACGGGGGCCCGCACAAGCGGAGGAACAUGUGGUUUAAUUCGAUGAUACGCGAGGAACCUUACCCGGGCUUAAAUUGCAGAUGAAUUACGGUGAAAGCCGUAAGCCGCAAGGCAUCUGUGAAGGUGCUGCAUGGUUGUCGUCAGCUCGUGCCGUGAGGUGUCGGCUUAAGUGCCAUAACGAGCGCAACCCUUGUUGUCAGUUACUAACAGGUUCCGCUGAGGACUCUGACAAGACUGCCAUCGUAAGAUGUGAGGAAGGUGGGGAUGACGUCAAAUCAGCACGGCCCUUACGUCCGGGGCUACACACGUGUUACAAUGGGGGGUACAGAGGGCCGCUACCACGCGAGUGGAUGCCAAUCCCCAAAACCUCUCUCAGUUCGGACUGGAGUCUGCAACCCGACUCCACGAAGCUGGAUUCGCUAGUAAUCGCGCAUCAGCCACGGCGCGGUGAAUACGUUCCCGGGCCUUGUACACACCGCCCGUCAAGCCAUGGGAGCCGGGGGUACCUGAAGUGCGUAACCGCGAGGAGCGCCCUAGGGUAAAACUGGUGACUGGGGCUAAGUCGUAACAAGGUAGCCGUACCGGAAGGUGCGGCUG